AUAUUUUUAUCUUUCCAAGGAUUUCCUAAAAAGCUGAAAGGUUCCCCGAUGGUGAUAGGCGUAGAUCGUUACUCUGACGUCACACUGGGACACGGAGACACGUUCUUUAAGGGAUUGCUGGACAACAUUGUGUUCUACGAUGUUGCUUUAUCGCCUGACGACAUUCAAAACCUGAGUGACGGGCAGUACGUGCGAUCACCUGACCCUGACCAAUACGUCAACCCCUGGUCCCACAUGUUCCCCAACUAAAUAACACGUGAUCAACUAAACAACUCGUCAUCAGCUUUAUAACACGUGAUCAACGUAAUAGCACGUGAUUAACAUAAUGACUCGUGACCAACUUAAUAACGGCUGAAGUAAAAAUGUGGACGGAACUUUUCGGUGUUUACAUUAACGUACCGAAAAUGAACGAAUUUGCACUUGGAAGUAGCAAUUUCUCUAGCUUACAGCGUCAAAACGUUUCUUUAAAUAAAGAAAGGGUAGCUGCUCUAUCCACAUUGAUAUUUUUACCAUAUGGAAAAUUCAAGCGUUUGUGAUAUCUUUAAUGAUUUAGAAAAAUAAAAAGGCCUACUUUUUCA